GACGAACGCUGGCGGCGUGCUUAACACAUGCAAGUCGAACGGGUCUGCCCUGUUUUUUGCGGGGUGGGUCAGUGGCGAACGGGUGAGUAACACGUGAGUAACCUGCCCCUCACUUCUGGAUAACCGCUUGAAAGGGUGGCUAAUACGGGGUGUUCUGGCUGUGCCGCAUGGUGUGGCUGGGAAAGAUUCACUUUUGUGGUGUUUUGGUGGGGGAUGGGCUCGCGGCCUAUCAGCUUGUUGGUGGGGUGAUGGCCUGCCAAGGCUUUGACGGGUAGCCGGCCUGAGAGGGUGGGCGGUCACACUGGGGCUGGGAUACGGGCCAGACUCCUGCGGGAGGCAGCAGUGGGGGGUAUUGCACAAUGGGCGGAAGCCUGAUGCAGCGACGUCGCGUGAGGGAUGGAGGCCUUCGGGUUGUGAACCUCUUUCGCCGGUGAAGAAGGUCCUGCUCUUUGUGGUGGGGUUGACGGUAGCCGGGUUAUGAAGCGCCGGCUAACUACGUG
rnacentral:rRNA from 1 species